AUAUACACAUAUAUAUAUAGUAACUGCCAGAUACACUCGAGAAGGAAGCAAGAGCCAGAGGGUUAAGAGAGCAUUACUGCCAACUGCAUUGUUACACUCAAGCACUCAGAGGCUCUGUUAGUGAUGGCAAGUGAAAGCCCUUCAGAGGAGUUGUUCUCUGGCCUGGUGCAAAGGUCUCAGUAUUGUUUUUAGACAGGUAAGAAAACAAUGGAAGGAAAGGAAACCUAUUCCCAACCCACCUGUAUCCUAUGCCAUGUGCUACAGAGGGAAGGAAAUCAGCAUUUUAAUGUUUAUGGUCCAACAGUCGUUAUGAAGGAAACUCCCUCCUUUCUCAACAGAUCUGAAUUCACCCCACAAUUAUGACUCUGCUGUGGAUGUUUCCAGAGCACAGAGCUCCUCAAACAGCUUUUCAGACUGUGCCAAUGCCAAUAAUGACAUGCCAAUAGCUGAAGUCCAACCCAGAACAUGAGUAGAACACUGAUUAAAACAUUCCCAGAUUAAAACACUCUGGAAAAUAACUGUAGUUACUUUUUCUUACAGAAUUAUGCAUGUGCCUCUUCAGUGGAAUCCAUCAAACUACCAAUCUCCUGUCCUGCCCUUCCCCUGCUAAGGGAAUGCAGGUACUGGUACCAAGAAAUGCCAGUGUGAAGUCAGAGCAAUGACAAGUCACCAAGGAGCAGCUGCUGUCACUGGCAGCAGCCUGACAGCAGAGUUAUUGCCUCAACCUGCAGCUGUGCUCGUGCCAGCGAGGCCACAGCGAGUUUUGUUCCUCAAAAUCCACAGAAAAAAGAAGAGUUAAAUUAAUGCCCAGCCUAGGAGAUGCCACAAGCUGAAGGCAGUACCUUGGCCCAGAGAAGCCCACAGGAUUCAGCAGUGGCAGCAGUGGAGCCCAGGGAAGCAACGACAGCUGGCACAGCUCCUGCCAUGGUGGUUUUCCUGGGCACAACAAAUGUUGUCCAGAGCCACAAGAGAGAGCACAGAGCCCUACCAACACUGGGGGGUCCUACAGAGAAGCCUUCCAGCCCACUGGAGAGGAGCAAAUCAGCCACGUGUUUCAACAUCAGAACAAACCCACCCUUCAGUUUUCAAACCAGCUUUUGGCUGCCACGGUGACAAAAGAGAAAAGUGUCAGCAAGUGACAGCUCUCUGUAUAACCCGGUUCCAUCACAGCUCAAGCACCGAAUAUCAUCACUCUGUUACAGACCCUGCAGAUUUGAAAUCCAGCUCAUCCUCAAAAAUCUUUUUCCAUCUCUGUUGCAAAGACAAGAGCUGCUGAAAAUCGGGCUGUUCUGCUCUUUUCAAGUCAAUGGAGGAGCAUUUAGAGAGCUGCAAAGACAC
rnacentral:lncRNA from 1 species